rnacentral:sRNA from 1 species
GUCGCUGCCAAUUCAGCGGCCGGGUGUGGUAACCCGAGUUAUUCAAGGCGCUACAGCGCCCCCAAUCACGUCAUCAGGCGCUUUUUUU